UUCUGUGAGCAGGAAAGCAGGGGACCGCAAGGCCUUGCGCUCUUUGAGCGGCCGAUGUCAGAUUAGCUAGUUGGUGAGGUAAACGCUUACCAAGGUGACGAUCUGUAGCGGGUCUGAGAGGAUGAUCCGCCACACUGGAACUGAGACACGGUCCAGACUCCUACGGGAGGCAGCAGUGGGGAAUUUUGGACAAUGGGGGCAACCCUGAUCCAGCCAUGCCGCGUGAGUGAAGAAGGCCUUCGGGUUGUAAAGCUCUUUCGGCCGGGAAGAAAUCGCAUGGGCCAAUACCCUGUGUGGAUGACGGUACCGGAAUAAGAAGCACCGACUAACUACGUGCCAGCAGCCGCGGCAAUACGUAGGGUGCGAGCGUUAAUCGGAAUUACUGGGCGUAAAGCGUGCGCAGGCGGUUUUGUAAGACAGGCGUGAAAUCCCCGGGCUUAACCUGGGAACUGCGUUUGUGACUGCAAGGCUAGAGUACGGCAGAGGGGGGUGGAAUUCCACGUGUAGCAGUGAAAUGCGUAGAGAUGUGGAGGAACACCAAUGGCGAAGGCAGCCCCCUGGGUCGAUACUGACGCUCAUGCACGAAAGCGUGGGUAGCAAACAGGAUUAGAUACCCUGGUAGUCCACGCCCUAAACUAUGUCAACUAGGUGUUGGGUGGGUAAAACCAUUUAGUACCGUAGUUAACGCGUGAAGUUGACCGCCUGGGGAGUACGGCCGCAAGGUUAAAACUCAAAGGAAUUGACGGGGACCCGCACAAGCGGUGGAUGAUGUGGAUUAAUUCGAUGCAACGCGAAAAACCUUACCUACCCUUGACAUGCCAGGAACUUGCCAGAGAUGGCUUGGUGCCCGAAAGGGAGCCUGGACACAGGUGCUGCAUGGCUGUCGUCAGCUCGUGUCGUGAGAUGUUGGGUUAAGUCCCGCAACGAGCGCAACCCUUGUCGUUAAUUGCCAUCAUUUAGUUGGGCACUUUAACGAGACUGCCGGUGACAAACCGGAGGAAGGUGGGGAUGACGUCAAGUCCUCAUGGCCCUUAUGGGUAGGGCUUCACACGUCAUACAAUGGUCGGUACAAAGGGUUGCCAAGCCGCGAGGCGGAGCCAAUCCCAGAAAGCCGAUCGUAGUCCGGAUUGCAGGCUGCAACUCGCCUGCAUGAAGUCGGAAUCGCUAGUAAUCGUGGAUCAGCAUGUCACGGUGAAUACGUUCCCGGGUCUUGUACACACCGCCCGUCACACCAUGGGAGCGGGUUCCGCCAGAAGUAGGUAGCCUAACCGCAAGGGGGGCGCUUACCACGGCGGGGUUCGUGACUGGGGUGAAGUCGUAACAAGGUA
rnacentral:rRNA from 1 species